AAUGAAGGAUUACAUGUUUGAAAAUAUUGGUUUAGCUAAAAUACUAGUGGUGUUGACAGAUCUUUUUUAAAGGAAAAAAAAUGUGAGGCGUAGACUAGAGCAACAUUGUUUCCCUCAUAUCUCAACUUUUCACCAACUAUAGAUGAAUCUUAUAACCUCCGUAGUUUUACUAGCUGAAAUAUUGCUAGGAAGAGCAUCAUAGACAACUGCUAUAAGUCUCAGCAAAAUUUUUCAAUCAAGCCACUAUUGAAAUUGAUAUUGACCUUAUGCUUUGCUCAAACCACUAUUGGAUGCUCAUACCUUUCUAAUAAAUGCAAUUGGUCAUCACAACAUGCUCUUAGUCUUAGUUUUCCGCCAUUCCUGCUGUUGUUCCCAUUGGUUAUUACCAAAUCAGCAAUUUUCAUGUAUGUACCAAGCAAUUUCAGCCCAAUUUCAUCUAGUCCAAUUUUUUAGACACAUUGGGUCGUGUAGGCAUAAUUGCUUAUGAAAUGAUGACUUUUAUGAGUUUAUGUACUAUGCCAUUAUUUGUACAGGAUAUGCUAACAUCACAUUAUUUUUGGCCAGUGUUUUUAUUGUGCUCUUGAUUGAUGAAUCUUCUGGUAAAUGACUUGUUUUGAAUCAUAUUGCUGCAGUAUUAGAAUUAGCAAGUCUGUUUAUUUCUUUAUAGGACUGGGGACCUGAUGCCCUUAUAACAUUUUCUAUAUAGGAAUGGAGUUAGAUUUGAUGGUAUAGUUUUCAUAUAACCUUUAGCUUUUAUGAGCUCUAACAACUAGGAUAUGCUUUAUUAUUGGACUCUAUUAUAGGUCACAGUUUUUUUAGAUAUAUUAUUUGAAUGAAUGUCAAUAUGAGCUGAGCUUUGAAUUAUAUAUGCUUGUAUAAAUUUGUUACUUAUUUAAAUGCCUCGUAAAGAACCGCUGACUUGGAUUAUGUUAUUGAAUCAUUAUUUUUUACAUAGGUAAGAGCAUUAGUUCUGAUGUUGAUGUUCAUUCAUAAAUUAAGGCUCUAUUUGUUUUGCGAAAAAUAUUUUUUGCAUUUUCUAACAUUUGGGUCACUGAGGAAAAUGGGUCAACGCAAAAUAUUUUCCUGAUCAAAGGGAAAACUAAAUCAUUUUCAAGGAAAAUGACUUUUUCUUCUCAAAAGAGGAAGUCAUUUUUCUGACUUUAACAAUCUAAAAAUGGGAAAACACUUUAUACAUAUAUGACAUAAAUAUAUACCAUUAAUUUA
rnacentral:misc_RNA from 1 species